rnacentral:ncRNA from 1 species
CUAUGACAAAAUUUGUCAUGGCGGAAGGAG